rnacentral:lncRNA from 1 species
UAGUGCAACAGCAUUCGGCAGUCGGCCUUCUUCUCUGGGGGAGGCUGGAGGCCAGAGUUUGGUGUCCCCUGCGAUGCGAGGUAUUUUUUAUCAAUCUCGGUUGAUCUGGACCGUCCAUUUGCGUCGACGUGAAACGAGGAGGGUUAUCCGAUCUUUGUCUGUUUAGGCCGAUUGCGUGGGCGAAUCUGAACUGUUCAUAUUGAUUGAUCUCUUC